GUGAAUCAUCGAAUCUUUGAACGCAAAUUGCACUCCCUGGUAUUCCGGGGAGUAUGCCUGUUUGAGGGUCGUUAGAACAAAAAUCGAAGCGUCGCUCUUUUUUUUAAUUGUGAUCGCGUCUGAAUUGAGCCGUCUCUCAAAUGUUAAUGCAUGUCAAAGUGGCUUAAAAUUCAUCCAUCCUGUACGAUUAAAGCGUAUUUAAGAUCAAUUUUGAUUAAGAACGCGCGAUGAACGUACCAUCUCAUGUAGUACUUUUGACCUGGUUCGUCAGGAUCAUUCGUAUACGAUACUCAAACUUUUU
rnacentral:misc_RNA from 1 species